UACCAGCACCCCGAGUGGUCGGGACGAUUAUUGGGCCUAAAGCAUCCGUAGCCGGUUUUACAAGUCCUCCGUUAAAUCCAGCUGCUUAACAGAUGGGCUGCGGAGGAUACUAUAAGACUAGGAGGCAGGAGAGGCAAGCGGUACUCAGUGGGUAGGGGUAAAAUCCGUUGAUCCAUUGAAGACCACCAGUGGCGAAGGCGGCUUGCCAGAAUGCGCUCGACGGUGAGGGAUGAAAGCUGGGGGAGCAAACCGGAUUAGAUACCCGGGUAGUCCCAGCUGUAAACGAUGCAGACUCGGUGAUGGACUAGCUUUAUGCUAGUCCAGUGCCGCAGGGAAGCCGUUAAGUCUGCCGCCUGGGUAGUACGGUCGCAAGACUGAAACUUAA
rnacentral:rRNA from 1 species